rnacentral:rRNA from 1 species
UGGGGAAUCUUGCGCAAUGGGCGAAAGCCUGACGCAGCCAUGCCGCGUGGAUGAUGAAGGUCUUAGGAUUGUAAAAUCCUUUCACCGGUGAAGAUAAUGACUGUAGCCGGAGAAGAAGCCCCGGCUAACUUCGUGCCAGCAGCCGCGGUAAUACGAAGGGGGCUAGCGUUGCUCGGAAUUACUGGGCGUAAAGGGAGCGUAGGCGGACAUUUAAGUCAGGGGUGAAAUCCCAGAGCUCAACUCUGGAACUGCCUUUGAUACUGGGUGUCUUGAGUGUGAUAGAGGUAUGUGGAACUCCGAGUGUAGAGGUGAAAUUCGUAGAUAUUCGGAAGAACACCAGUGGCGAAGGCGACAUACUGGAUCAUUACUGACGCUGAGGCGCGAAAGCGUGGGUAGCAAACAGGAUUAGAUACCCACGUAGUCCCUGAGCGGGCUGGCAAGGCGCAU